GAUGAACGCUGGCGGCGUGCCUAAUACAUGCCAGUCGAGCGAACAGACGAGGAGCUUGCUCCUCUGACGUUAGCGGCGGACGGGUGAGUAACACGUGGAUAACCUACCUAUAAGACUGGGAUAACUUCGGGAAACCGGAGCUAAUACCGGAUAAUAUAUUGUACCGCAUGGUUCAAUAGUGAAGGACGGUUUUGCUGUCACUUAUAGAUGGAUCCGCGCCGCAUUAGCUAGUUGGUAAGGUAACGGCUUACCAAGGCGACGAUGCGUAGCCGACCUGAGAGGGUGAUCGGCCACACUGGAACUGAGACACGGUCCAGACUCCUACGGGAGGCAGCAGUAGGGAAUCUUCCGCAAUGGGCGAAAGCCUGACGGAGCAACGCCGCGUGAGUGAUGAAGGUCUUCGGAUCGUAAAACUCUGUUAUUAGGGAAGAACAAAUGUGUAAGUAACUAUGCACGUCUUGACGGUACCUAAUCAGAAAGCCACGGCUAACUACGUG
rnacentral:rRNA from 1 species